CACAUAUUAAGUGAUAUCUCGAGCCUCGACACACGACUGUCGGUCUAGUCUCAAGGUGUAGUUUUAGUCGAUCUUUCCCACUUACUCGAGAUUCGAGUCGAGGUGACUAAAAUAGACAAAAUAGUUUGUGAAAUUGGUAGAUCUUCUUCAAAUAUUAGAAUCAGAGAUCAGGCAGAACAAUUUGCCAUGGAAUUACUUCACAAAAAUAUAAACUUCAACGCUUUUGGGUUUUUUUCGCUCCAGGGAUCUUGUCUUAUCUCAUUACUACAUACUGCGCUUAGUUAUACAUUUAUAAUAAUAAACUACAGGGGUCAUAAUGAAAAUAAUUCAACAAAAUAAACAAUGAAGACUGCC